rnacentral:rRNA from 1 species
UACAGAGGGUGCAAGCGUUGUUCGGAAUUAUUGGGCGUAAAGCGCGUGUAGGCGGCAUGGCAAGUCGGGUGUGAAAUCCCUCAGCUUAACUGAGGAAGUGCGCCCGAAACUGCUUUGCUUGAGUGCCGGAGAGGAUGGCGGAAUUCCCCAAGUAGAGGUGAAAUUCGUAGAUAUGGGGAGGAACACCGGUGGCGAAGGCGGCCAUCUGGACGGUAACUGACGCUGAGACGCGAAAGCGUGGGGAGCAAACAGG